rnacentral:misc_RNA from 1 species
GCCAGAGCGACCAUCGCGAACUGGUUCGCGCGAUCCAGCUCGACCGCGCGGCGGGCCGCCGCCAGGGCUCGAUCCAGCGACGUCGCGUCGCUCGCGAAGCCGAACGCGUAUUCGUCGACGUAGACCUGCGCGAGGCAGGCCCACAGGUCCGACUGUCGGUCAUUCCGCUCCGCCGCGCGCUCCAACCGGCUCUUGAGCGCCGCGUAGGCGGCUGGGGUGAUCUGCUCUCGGUACGCAAAGUACUGGAACUGCCACUCGACCGGCGUGAGGUCGGCGUCUUCCUUCUGGCCGCUGGCUGCCCGGAUCGAAUGCACGAGCACGCCGUAGCUGUCGGCAACUGUCGCGACGAUGCGGCCGGCGACAUCAUCCUGCACCGCAAACGGGCCCGACGCCUGAAGGUCCCGGCGAUACGUCUCGGACCAGAGCCGCGCUCCCGUUUGGGCGUCGACGAGCUGGGCAGCGACGCGAAGGUCGGAGCCUCCCCGU